rnacentral:lncRNA from 1 species
GGAGUCGAUGUGAUCGGGGUGCUCCUCCCUCGUUCUCUCACGCUCUUCCUCAUCGGAAAGCUCGGGUACGGGCUCAAGAAUGGGUGCCGGUAAAGGUGCCGGCUCGAUGCAAUCGGGCGUCCCGCAUCCCAAGUGUUGGACAAUAGCUUGUAGCAUCUUGCUCGACCACCGUUGAAGUGCCUCCACCGUAUUGACUUUAUGCUCGACGGUAGUCAAUCGGUUCCGAGUAAUUAUCAUCUCUCGCUCCAUCUUCUUUCGGAAUCGUCGAUCGGAACGGGAGCUUGAGGCUU